GUGNUCACUUCGGCAGCAUAUAUACUAAAACUGGAACGAUACAGAGAUUAGCACGGUCUUUGCACAAGGAUGACACGCAAAUUUGUGAAGCGUUCCAUAUNUUU
rnacentral:snRNA from 1 species